ACGGCCUCUCUCCCAGUGCGACUCGGACGCCGCGACGGUGAAGCAGAGAUGCGCUUGUGGUGUGUGUUGACAGCAGUGGCGGCGAUUGUGUUCGCGCUGAUAACCUCGAACAGGGCUGCCAACGUUGUGACUGUGCGAGGUUAUCGACAGACGACUACGACGCCGGCGCUGAAUUCGACGACUCCGAAAAUAUCGCAGAUCAUCAAUGUAAGACCGAGGAUUCCCACCUGCCCAGAUGGUCAGAAAUUCCUGAUGGGGAAGUGCCGCGUAGUCAUCAGGAACAGCGCCAAGCCAAGGCGGUAGAACCUACAUGGAGUUUGGAGAUGUGCUGUUAGAUAUAUAAUCCGUAAACUUCAUGGAAAAUUAAUUUACGUAGCUUUUAAGAUAACUAUGUAACGCUGUCAUUAGUCUUUGUCGAUGUUUUAAUAAAUACUAACAGAAACACA
rnacentral:misc_RNA from 1 species